CCGAUAUCAAACACCAACUUCGAUCGAAUAUCAGAUAUCCGAUAGGUGGUGCUGUUAUUGUCGUAGGUAGCUUUUAACCUCUUAUUUUUAUGACAUUGUUUCUGCAUUUGUUUUUUUGAAAUGCAUCGUUUGAUACUAUGUUCGUUGAAAAUGACGCAUUGGGACCAAGCUUUUGGACAACUACAGGGAAAGUAUAGAUGCCAACUAUUGUGGAAAACUUUCUCCACAAAAGUCUCAUCUCCUUCGAUAUCAUGGUAACAACAACGCUCUAUUUCGCUUGCAGUUUUGUUUGGUCACCUUAAUUGGUUCAAGUUUUUUGGUGAAGCGAUUGUGGUCCAGUGUUUUUGGCGAAGGCUCAAGAAUCUGAUGAAGCAAAUCUCAACGAGAAUACCAGAAAAAAAAAAGAAAGAGAUAUUUUUGUGAAGACGGACCUUGUCCAUGGCGAUCAGCAUGUUCAAGUUAAUGAGAUCUAGCUGGAUACUGGAUAGAAGUUUUAUUUAUUUUUUAUUUGAAGAAAGAGGAUACAAGUCCUGCUCGGUACAAAGAGUUUCAGAUCGAUGGAAAGGCAUCCUACCACACCGCCUCUGGUGUAACGAAGUUCGUUGACCUCGUAAGGCGAAGUGAAUGCAUCUUUGUUUUCCUAUUUUGCAACUCUCUACAGAAAGAAAACAAUCCCAAUGGGCUCAAGGUUUUGGCCCAACCGCCUAAAGAGAUUGAGUUUAGCCCAAGAGCCUUUGUGACGAUGAAUUUUUACAACGCGGUUUCAUGAAAUAGACAAGAACGAAAUAAAAUAAGGAUAGAGCAAAAUGAAUAGAAUAACUAUUCUAGGUUAUGCGGGGAGCAAACUUGUUGGGGUUGUUCUGCGGGGGGUUGCCUAAGUGGAAGGUGCAGGUCUGUGUGGAUUCCAACUUAGGAGUGGCUUGAAGCGAGUUGAACCUAAGAGGAAAAUUUUCUCCCAUCCAGAGCAUUCUCUUCUUCCUUUUUCUUUCUCCCUUAUUCCAUCUAUUUUCUCUCUGGCAGCGUCGCAGCAAAUUCCUAAUAAAUAAUUUUCAAGGUUUUUCGAUUCCAUUGAUUAUACCUACUCGCACAAAUACCUCGACGAUUCCCGCUCGUUAAUACGUAGAGCAUAUCUUGAGUCGGCACGGAAGUGGUAUCCCCGAUGGCAAACCCUAGGAACAGUUGCAUUUUGUUGUCAAAACGGAGCAUUACGGGACUAGGAGUGGUACUAUGCUUAAUGCUUGUUCAUCUGCUGCCGUUGCCGGCGUCAUCAGAAGAAAGUGUCCAAGUGCAGGGUGUUCUUGGGAUCCCAAAGUACCAGAGACCCCCAUGCAAUGCAGAUCAUCCGAAUCACUGCCCGAAGGCCGUCAAAGGUGCCCGUUCUAGGCAUUGCAAUGUGGCCAACAGAUGUCGUGGAGUCCAUGAGCCCCCCUCUCGAAGUUGAAGAUAAGCUGGCCAUGAUAGCCACUACUCUUGUGCAGUGUCCCUUUUUUGUGACCCUUCGUUGCCAAUUUUGAAGAACAGAAGUUGAUUCACACUCACACAUAUCAUGAAGCAAAAGAAUAGAACAUAUUUAUUAUAUACAACUGUGCUGGUGUUUUUAUUAUUAUUUUUUAUAAUUAAAGAAGGGAGAUUUGACUUUUGGUUUUUGAGACAGUGAGAUAAUGUAUCGAUCAAUGAACUAAGUGUUUGGGUGUUUGUUUUUCA
rnacentral:sRNA from 10 species